CAGUAGCCGCGGUAAUACGUAGGUGGCGAGCGUUGUCCGGAUUUAUUGGGCGUAAAGCGAGCGCAGGCGGUUAGAUAAGUCUGAAGUUAAAGGCUGUGGCUUAACCAUAGUACGCUUUGGAAACUGUUUAACUUGAGUGCAAGAGGGGAGAGUGGAAUUCCAUGUGUAGCGGUGAAAUGCGUAGAUAUAUGGAGGAACACCGGUGGCGAAAGCGGCUCUCUGGCUUGUAACUGACGCUGAGGCUCGAAAGCGUGGGGAGCAAACAGGAUUAGAUACCCCGGUAGUCCCUGUCUCUUAUACA
rnacentral:rRNA from 1 species